rnacentral:rRNA from 1 species
UCCGUAGGUGAACCUGCGGAGGGAUCAUUAAAAGAAGCCGAAAGGCUACUUACAACCAUCGUGAACUCGUCCAAGUUGCUUCGGCGGCGCGGGGCCUCUUACGGGGCGCCGCAGCCCGGCCUCUCCGGAGGCGCGGGGCAACCGCCGGAGGUACAAAACUCUUCUGUAUUAUAGUGACACUUCUGAUUAAACAAACAAAUAAGUUAAAACUUUCAACAACGGAUCUCUUGGUUCUGGCAUCGAUGAAGAACGCAGCGAAAUGCGAUAAGUAAUGUGAAUUGCAGAAUUCAGUGAAUCAUCGAAUCUUUGAACGCACAUUGCGCCCGCUAGUACUCUAGCGGGCAUGCCUGUUCGAGCGUCAUUUCAACCCUCAAGCCCUGCUUGGUGUUGGGGCCCUACGGCUGCCGUAGGCCCUGAAAGAAGUGGCGGGCUCGCUACAACUCCGAGCGUAGUAAUCUUUUAUCUCGCUAGGGAAGUGUGGCGUGCUCCUGCCGUUAAAGACCCCAUCUUUAACAAGGUUGACUC